CCUACGGGUGGCAGCAGUGAGGAAUAUUGGUCAAUGGACGAGAGUCUGAACCAGCCAAGUAGUGUGAAGGAUGACUGCCCUAUGGGUUGUAAACUUCUUUUAUAAAGGAAUAAAACGAGGCACGUGUGCCUUUUUGCAUGUACUUUAUGAUUAAGGAUCGGCUAGCUCCGUGCCAGCACGGGCGGUAAUACGGAUGACCCGAGCGUUAUCCGGAUUUACUGGGUUUAAAGGGAGCGUAGAUGGGUUGUUAAGUCAGUUGUGAAAGUUUGCGGCUCAACCGUAAAAUUGCAAUUGAUACUGGCAGUCUUGAGUACAGUUGAGGUAGGCGGAAUUCGUGGUGUAGCGGUGAAAUGCUUAGAUAUCACGAAGAACCCCGGUGGCGAAGGCAGCUUACUAAGCUGUGACUGACAUUGAUGCGCGAAAGUGUGGGUAGCAAACAGGAUUAGAUACCCCUGUAGUC
rnacentral:rRNA from 1 species